rnacentral:lncRNA from 1 species
AGGACAGGGGCCCCUGGCCCAGCACGGGAGCCCGCGGCUCUGCUCCUGCGCUCUUACUGCGCCGUCAGUGUCCGGGCCCGUUCCUUCACCCGCCCGGUUGCCCCAGAUUUGAGGACACCCCUUUGUUUCCUGCUUUCAGCUCACCUCUGGAUCCUGCGUUCUUCGUCAAGUGGAGCUUUCCCUUUAAAGCCCUGAGCAUGUGCUCCUCAUUUUCCUCGCCUGGAGCUUUACUGCCUCUGCCUCCCUGGCUGGCAAGGGUGACCAAGGGUGACCAGUCCUUUGCUUCUCUGCAGGUUUUGCUGUAGCAACUUGCUUUUUCCUCUUUAAUCUGUGUCACCUUCGCUGUCAGAAUUGCUGCCCGGGGACCUGGCAGAAGCAAGUUCCCUUGGUGGCUCUGCUGCUGCAGUGGGGGCCUGUGGCUGCCCCCUCCCGACUCUGGCAGUGAAGACACGUG